ensembl:snoRNA
UGCAUAUGAUGGUUUUUCUCACGAUGGUCUUCCAAGUCUUGAAGACUCUGACGACAUUGCCUACUGGCAUUUCUGAUGCAGAUUU